CUCCUACGGGAGGCAGCAGGGGGGAAUAUUGCACAAUGGGGGAAACCCUGAUGCAGCAACGCCGCGUGGAGGAAGAAAGCCCUUAGGGGCGUAAACUCCUUUUAUAGUCGAAGAAAAUGACGGUAGACGAUGAAUAAGCACCGGCUAACUCCGUGCCAGCAGCCGCGGUAAUA
rnacentral:rRNA from 1 species